GCUGUGAUAGCUCAGUCGGUUAGAGCGUGGGUCUAAUAAGCCCAAGGUCGCAGGUUCGACCCCUGCUGGCGGCA
rnacentral:tRNA from 1 species